CGAGCUUGGAUGGUGACAGGGAAUAAGGCUGGAUGGUGGCAGGGAGUGAGGCUGGAUGGUGACAGGAGUGAGGCUGGAUGGUGGCAGGGAUGGUGACAGGGAAUGAGGCUGGAUGGUGACAGGGAAUGAGGCUGGAUGGUGACAGGGAGUGAAGCUGGAUGGUGACAGGGAUGGUGGCAGGAGUGAGGCUGGAUGGUGACAGGGAUGGUGGCAGGAGUGAGGCUGGAUGGUGACAGGGAUGGUGGCAGGGAACGAGGCUGGAUGGUGGCAGGAGUGAAGCUGGAUGGUGGCAGGGAACGAGGCUGGAUGGUGGCAGCGGCCGGUCAUGCCCUUAAUCUGCGAAUUCGCUAAAGCUCUUUAAUAAAGAUUCAAAGUCACCAAGUUCUCAAUUAAGGGAUGAGGCAGCCCUUGAUCCGCGUUUCUGGGUCAGCCGGAGAAAGGCCAUUUAAGAGCCGGGCGAUUCCUUUGAUGUUUGCAGGGAAUGAACACCUGGCUGUGCAGGAGGCUCGGCCUCCUCCGGGGCAGCCCCGAGUCCAA
rnacentral:lncRNA from 1 species